CUCCCAGCCCGGCCGGGGCGCGCCCGCCACUGCCCCGGAGCCCGGCGCCCGUGCGCUUCGGGAAAGCGAGUGUGUGGGAGCGACGCGCUGCGGCGGAGCAGGAACGUCCGCACACGGCGUUUUCUCCUCCGCGUCCUUCCCGCUAGUUACGCGUGUUACGGGAAAGAAGUAGCUCUGGCAGGUGGAGUUACUCGCGUUUGUCUUCCGGAAAGCCUGAACUCGCUGAGAAAAACAGCAUUAAGACUGAAUGUUUGGGAGAAGCAGAAAGAAAAGUAUUCUAGCCUCAAAGCAGGGAUUCCUGGGGUUCCGGAGGUGGGGGACUACGGGCGACGCGGCGAAGGACGGGGCUGCCGGUGCCUCGGCGCCCAGCCCCGGGGAAGGCCGGGAGCUGACACCGGCGGGAAACCGGGGAGCAGCGAGCCGGCCUCCGCCGUGGCGCCCGAGUUUGUGGGCGGAGAUGCAUACUCCAGCAGGACCCACCCUUCGCUCGUGGCCAGCUGCUCUGACAUCUUCCGAACCGGUCUCCCUGCCUCUACUCAUCUCCCUGAGACGUAUCCUCAACAGCGACAGAUUUACUGACAAGUCCGAACUGACAAUUACAUCCUCCCACUUGAGAGUCCUAAGGGGAAGGAGGUCCUGCUCUUCCGGGAGAUUUGCUACCAUUUCCUCGGCCUCGCUCUGGGGCAAAGCACCCACCCUCCUCACGAAUCUACGCCCCCAUUAAAGAAUAUCCGCACUUUGUUCCAGGCAAUGUUAUUUGCUUCCUGCUAUGGUCUAGUAAUGGGGAAUUUUAAUUGUGAGUUUCAGUGUGCUCUAAUGAAAAAGAAUGUAAUUCUAUGUUUUUGUUUUGUUCUGUGGUUCUCCUCAGGACCUUGCACUUGCCAAGAAGGAAUUCUACUGAGCUACACCCCAGACCAACAUUUUCUUUCUUGCACUGCUGGGGUAUUGAGAGCUUAUAAUACAUUAUAUAAAAAGUGGCUGAAAAGCCAGGGCAUCUGAAACAGAGCCGUGUCAUGUGUAUGAUAAAUG
rnacentral:lncRNA from 1 species